GAUUAAGAAAACCAAAAGCAAUCAUAGGAGCUUGCUUAUAAAUAUAACAACAAAGAUGUGUCAUGAAACUCAACUAUUGAACAAUGAGACUUUAUUUAAUAUCAUAUUUAUACUUUUCCUAAUCUGACAAAACUUCUUCAUCAAUUGCACGCCAAUGCACAUUAGAAGGCAUCCACACCAUUCAGAUUGAUUUUUUAAUAAAAAAAAUAUAUAUAUCAUGGUAGUUGUAGGAUUUUAUUCGGUCGAGUAUGAGGAUACAGACUCAAUAUAUAGAAUAGCAUCUUAAAACUAUAGCCUUUGAACUGUAAAUGUGAUAUAUCAUUCCAUCGACCCCUACAAAAGGACUAUAGGAACACUUUCUGCGACAAGGCUCAAAGCUGCUAGUACUUUGAUCCCAUCCCAAUAAAAG
rnacentral:misc_RNA from 1 species